rnacentral:rRNA from 1 species
AAUGAGACUGCCGGUGGACAAGCCGGAGGAAGUGGGAUGACGUCAAGCCUCAUGGCCCUUAUAGGUGGGGCUACACACGUCAUACAAUGGCUGGUACAAAGGGUUGCAACCGCAGGGGGAGCCAAUCCCAUAAAGCCAGUCGUAGUCCGGAUCGUAGUCUGCAACUCGACUACGUGAAGUCGGAAUCGCUAGUAAUCGUGGAUCAGAAUGUCACGGUGAAUACGUUCCCGGGUCUU